rnacentral:rRNA from 1 species
GAUGAACGCUGGCGGCGUGCCUAAUACAUGCAAGUCGAGCGAACAGACGAGGAGCUUGCUCCUCUGACGUUAGCGGCGGACGGGUGAUUAACACGUGGAUAACCUACCUAUAAGACUGGGAUAACUUCGGGAAACCGGAGCUAAUACCGGAUAAUAUAUUGAACCGCAUGGUUCAAUAGUGAAAGACGGUUUUGCUUUCACUUAUAGAUGGAUCCGCGCCGCAUUAGCUAGUUGGUAAGGUAACGGCUUACCAAGGCGACGAUGCGUAGCCGACCUGAGAGGGUGAUCGGCCACACUGGAACUGAGACACGGUCCAGACUCCUACGGGAGGCAGCAGUAGGGAAUCUUCCGCAAUGGGCGAAAGCCUGACGGAGCAACGCCGCGUGAGUGAUGAAGGUCUUCGGAUCGUAAAACUAUGUUAUUAGGGAAGAACAAAUGUGUAAGUAACUAUGCACGUCUUGACGGUACCUAAUCAGAAAGCCACGGCUAACUACGUG